rnacentral:rRNA from 1 species
UACGUGGGGUGCAAGCGUUGUUCGGAAUUACUGGGCGUAAAGCGUGUGUAGGCGGCCCGCUAAGUCUGGUGUGAAAUCCCCAAGCUUAACUUGGGAACUGCAUCGGAAACUGGCGGGCUCGAGUUCGGGAGAGGGUGGUGGAAUUCCUGGUGUAGAGGUGAAAUUCGUAGAUAUCAGGAGGAACACCGGUGGCGAAGGCGGCCACCUGGACCGAUACUGACGCUGAGACACGAAAGCGUGGGGAGCAAACAGG